UUGCUCCCCUUCUCUCUCCCCGAAGCCCCCCGUCUCUCUCUUUCACUCGCUUACAAGAAAGCAGAGCUCCGCGCUUGGAUUCGUUUCCCUCUCUCUUUUCUUCAUCUGGAUCUCUAGGGUCUAAAGAUCCGAUUAUUGGUGUGCUUUCCCCGAUUCGAUCUCGUUGUAUGCUUGAUUAGAGGUUCUUGUACUUCUCUGAUUCGGGCCCAACGCUGGGAGAGGCGUUUCGGGAAUUCUGACGCAUGAGAGCCUACGGUUUGGACCCUCGGAGGGACGCCUCCGGCGGCCGACGCGACCAGCUGCCGCCGACUCCAUGGUUACCUCCCAUGGAGAGCGGCGGCGGAGGCGCGGGUGGGGUUGGGAACCUGACGGACCGGUUUUUUAGGUUGGGCUUGGGUGCCGUUCCCAAUGGGAACCUGCAUCAAGUCAUGAUGGCGGUGGAAGGCGCGGAGAACACCAUCAAGAAACAGUUGGAAGAAAACAACCAAUUAAAGAAUGAGCUCCUACGAAAAACACGAGAAUUAGAGAGAGAUGUAGGAACUCUGAUCCACAUUUCUUUUCAGGUUUAUCAUCCCAAGAGUUUGCUUAGAUUGAAUGCUACGUCAUUAAAGCCUUCUGAGGUUUCAACAAAUGAUCAUGUGGAAGGCUAUGAACCCCAUCAUUCUAAUUCUUCAUCUGGAAAUGAAGCAGAAAGGAACAAAUGGAUGGAUAAUCAUUCAUUGAAUUCUCAAGGUAUCCUUCUGAUCCAUCAGAAUGGAUUUUCUGGGAGGGAGGAACGUUUUGUAGAAACUAGCACAAAUAAUCAGCAACUUGGGAGCAACAAGGUUAAUGGUGAUCUUAAAAAAAUCCCUCUAGUACGGUUUGGUGUAGAAGGUGCUGGUCCAUCUCAGGACUCUACACCAUCAUCUAGAUCCAUUUCUCCAAGCAAGAAUCAAAAAGAUGGAGAACAUGAAAAAAGGUUCAAUUCUUCUGGAAAUGGACUAUUGCCAGUGUCUGAUACCAGCCCAAAUAUUCUCUGGAAACAGGAACUCAUUGUCAAGGUUAGAAAGCAUGAGGAAGAGAUUGCUCAGUUAAGGAAGCAUCUCACUGAUUAUUUGGUUAAGGAAACACAUAUAUGCAAUGACAAAUAUGUUCUGGAUAAACACAUUGCUUAUAUGCGUACGGCAUUUGAUCAGCAACAGCAGGACUUGGUUAAUGCCGCAUCAAAAGCUAUUUCUUAUAGACAAGAUAUUAUAGAGGAGAAUAUCCUACUAUCCCAUGCAUUACAAGCAGCACAUGCAGAGAGGUCAACUUUUGUAUCUUCUUUAGUACCCCUUCUUUCAGAACAUGGCCUCCAGCCUUCUAUUAUUGAUGCUCAGUCAAUUGUCAGUAAUCUUAAGGUUUUGUUCGGACACAUGCAUGAGAAACUAAUCAUUUCUAAGGAAAAACUAAAAGAGUCUCAAUACCAAAUAGCUCCAUGGUAUGCAGAAUCAUCACAUAAUGCAGGCUUUCCUACACAAUCACCUUCCCGUCCACUCAGUUCACAAGUUGCUGUUUCUAACAAGAAUAACUUGGAAAUUGUGCCACAGCCAGCAAAUCCACAUGCUCAAACUCCAAUUUCUUCUUCCAAUUUCCAAACAAGACUUUAUUGGGAGGCAGUUGGAGACCAAAAUCAGCAAUUUAAUCAAAGUAGUGUUCCGACAAAGAGUCUGGACCAGGAUACUGCAGAAAUAUACACUCCUGUGAGGAGGGACCCAGUUCACAAUGAUGCUUCAGCUCAAACAAAUUUAGAUGUCACUCAUGUUGCACUUCUUGAGUCUAAAAGUCAAAGACCAUCUUUUAAGCACCUUGUUAAAAGUGGCAAGACUGAUGAUCCUGAGAUGGUUGCUCUUCAGCAUGGAAAAGAACAUUCUGUACACUGGGCUCCUGGAAACUCCUAUUUACCAUCUGGACAGGAUGUACAGAACUCUUAUUCUUUCCUUCCAACAGUCUAUGAGGAGCCUAGUUCUUCAUUCUCAGAAGCAGAUGAUGAUCCCUUGCCAGCAAUAGAUAGCCUUCGAAUUUCUGGUGAAGCUUAUCCUGGAAGAGAACUUCAAGCAAGUGGGUACUCAAUAAAUGGAACUACAAGUUGUAAUUUUGAGUGGGUACGGUAUUUAGAAGAUGGAUCUGUGAACUAUAUUGAUGGUGCGAGACAACCCACUUAUCUGGUUACAGCUGAUGAUGUGGACUCAUACCUUGCCAUUGAAGUCCAUCCCCUUGAUGAUAGGAAGCGGAAGGGUGAACUUGUAAAGGUUUUUGCCAAUGAGCAAAGAAAGAUAAUUUGCGAUCCUGAAAUGCAAGAGCAAAUUAAGAGAACUCUUUCUGUUGGACUUGCAUCAUAUGAAAUUUCAUUGUCGGCUAAAUUUCUUGAUAUAUGGGAGCCUGCUGUUUUGGCAAUAAAGAGAGAAGGUUACAGCAUAAAAUGUAAGGGGCCACGUGGCGGCGUUGUCAUGGAGAAGUUUCAGCCAAAUACUACUAUUUUAAUUCCAUAUGGACAUCCUACUGAGUUUUUAAUUCAGGAUGCUAGCGGUGAUUCUUUAUUGAAGACAGAAGCUAGCAGCGUGGUGCGAGAUACAAUUGUUCUUACAAUGAGAUUGUUUAAAGCAAUGCCAAUCAAUCAUCAAUUUAGUUGGCGAAGCAAACAUGUGCAAAGGAUGACCAUUUUGAUCAUUGAUUACUCCAGGGACUAAAGUUUUAUAAUUGAAAGGAAAUUUUUGUCCUUGUUAGACUACUACAGGCUGGUGAGAAGAAGAAAGGGAGGAAAAGGGGACUCUUUUUCAAAUAGAUAUAUUUACAAAACAAAGGCCAAGAGAUGCUGCCUGCGUUGAACUUGCACGCCCUAUUCAUAUUCUUCUGCGAGGCUCGGAGAUCUUAAUUUAUUGAAACAGCCAUCCUAAUCUUAAGGGCUUCUUCCAUGUCUCGAGUGUCACAAGAUCGAUCCCUUUAAUUCUGUAAUGACCUUUCUACAUAUACAUUGUCCUCAGCAAAACAUAGCACAUCCUGUGGCUUUCCAUAAGAUUCAUCAUUUGCAAGAUCAGCCACUGCAGGUAAACUUAAAUAUAAUGUUACGCAUAAAUAACCCACAUUUGCAGUGAUCUGGUCA